GACGAACGCUGGCGGCGUGCUUAACACAUGCAAGUCGAACGAUGAAGUUCCUUCGGGAAUGGAUUAGUGGCGAACGGGUGAGGAACACGUGAGAAACCUGCCUUUCAUUUUGGGACAACUCCGGGAAACCGGGGCUAAAACCGAAUACUCCGUCUCGGCGGCAUCGCUGAGCCGGGGAAAAAUUUUGAUGAAAGAUGGUCUCGCGGCCUAUCAGCUAGUUGGUGAGGUAAUGGCUCACCAAGGCAACGACGGGUAGCCGGCCUGAGAGGGCGACCGGCCACACUGGGACUGAGACACGGCCCAGACUCCUACGGGAGGCAGCAGUGGGGAAUAUUGGGCAAUGGGUGCAAGCCUGACCCAGCGACGCCGCGUGAGGGAUGAAGGCCUUCGGGUUGUAAACCUCUUUCAGUAGGGAAGAAGCGAAAGUGACGGUACCUAAAGAAGAAGCACCGGCUAACUAUGUGCCAGCCGCCGCCGUAA
rnacentral:rRNA from 1 species